UACGUAGGGGGCAAGCGUUGUCCGGAAUCAUUGGGCGUAAAGAGCGUGUAGGCGGCCCGAUAAGUCCGCCGUGAAAGUCCAGGGCUCAACCCUGGAAUGCCGGUGGAAACUGUCGGGCUGGAGUCCGGAAGAGGCGAGUGAAAUUCCUGGUGUAGCGGUGAAAUGCGCAGAUAUCAGGAGGAACACCAGUGGCGAAGGCGCCGCUCUGGGCCGUGACUGACGCUGAGGAGCGAAAGCGUGGGUAGCAAACAGG
rnacentral:rRNA from 1 species